GUGCCAGCAGCCGCGGUAAGACGAACCGUGCGAACGUUGUUCGGAAUCAUUGGGCUUAAAGGGCGCGUAGGCGGGCUGGCCAGUCCGGGGUGAAAGCCCACGGCUCAACCGUGGAAGUGCCUUGGAUACUGCCAGUCUUGAGGGAGGUAGGGGCGUGCGGAACUUCCGGUGGAGCGGUGAAAUGCGUAGAUAUCGGAAGGAACACCGGUGGCGAAAGCGGCGCGCUGGACCUCUUCUGACGCUGAGGCGCGAAAGCCAGGGGAGCAAACGGGAUUAGAUACCCUGGUAGUCC
rnacentral:rRNA from 1 species